GACGAACGCUGGCGGCGUGCUUAACACAUGCAAGUCGAACGGAAAGGCCCUGCUUUUGUGGGGUGCUCGAGUGGCGAACGGGUGAGUAACACGUGAGUAACCUGCCCUUGACUUUGGGAUAACUUCAGGAAACUGGGGCUAAUACCGGAUAGGAGCUCCUGCUGCAUGGUGGGGGUUGGAAAGUUUCGGCGGUUGGGGAUGGACUCGCGGCUUAUCAGCUUGUUGGUGGGGUAGUGGCUUACCAAGGCUUUGACGGGUAGCCGGCCUGAGAGGGUGACCGGCCACAAUGGGACUGAGAUACGGCCCAGACUCCUACGUGAGGCAGCAGUGGAGAAUAUUGCACAAUGGGCGGAAGCCUGAUGCAGCAACGCCGCGUGCGGGAUGACGGCCUUCGGGUUGUAAACCGCUUUCGCCUGUGACGAAGCGUGAGUGACGGUAAUGGGUAAAGAAGCACCGGCUAACUACGUG
rnacentral:rRNA from 1 species